rnacentral:rRNA from 1 species
GACGAACGCUGGCGGCGUGCUUAACACAUGCAAGUCGAACGGAAAGGCCCUGCUUUUGUGGGGUGCUCGAGUGGCGAACGGGUGGGUAACACGUGAGUAACCUGCCCUUGACUUUGGGAUAACUUCAGGAAACUGGGGCUAAUACCGGAUAGGAGCUCCUGCUGCUUGGUGGGGGUUGGAAAGUUUCGGCGGUUGGGGAUGGACUCGCGGCUUAUCAGCUUGUUGGUGGGGUAGUGGCUUACCAAGGCUUUGACGGGUAGCCGGCCUGAGAGGGUGACCGGCCACAUUGGGACUGAGAUACGGCCCAGACUCCUACGGGAGGCAGCAGUGGGGAAUAUUGCACAAUGGGCGGAAGCCUGAUGCAGCAACGCCGCGUGCGGGAUGACGGCCUUCGAGUUGUAAACCGCUUUCGCCUGUGACGAAGCGUGAGUGACGGUAAUGGGUAAAGAAGCACCGGCUAACUACGUG